rnacentral:misc_RNA from 1 species
GAAAUGCGAUAAGUAAUGUGAGUUGCAGAAUUCAGUGAAUCAUCGAAUCUUUGAACGCACAUUGCGCCCGCCAGUAUUCUGGCGGGCAUGCCUGUCCGAGCGUCAUUUCAACCAUCAAGCCCCCGGGCUUGUGUUGGGGACCUGCGGCUGCCCGCAGGCCCUGAAAACCAGUGGCGGGCUCGCUGUCACACCGAGCGUAGUAGCAAUCACCUCGCUCAGGGCGUGCUGCGGGUUCCGGCCGUUAAACAGCCUUACAAAACCCAAGGUUGACCUCGGAUCAGGUAGGAAGACCCGCUGAACUUAAGC